rnacentral:rRNA from 1 species
CAGUCGCCUCGGGAAUACGUAGGUGGCAAGCGUUGUCCGGAAUUAUUGGGCGUAAAGGGCUCGCAGGCGGUUUCUUAAGUCUGAUGUGAAAGCCCCCGGCUCAACCGGGGAGGGUCAUUGGAAACUGGGAAACUUGAGUGCAGAAGAGGAGAGUGGAAUUCCACGUGUAGCGGUGAAAUGCGUAGAGAUGUGGAGGAACACCAGUGGCGAAGGCGACUCUCUGGUCUGUAACUGACGCUGAGGAGCGAAAGCGUGGGGAGCGAACAGGAUUAGAUACCCCGGUAGUCCCUGUCUCUUAUAC